CGGCACGGGGAGGUAGUGACAAUAAAUAACGAUACGGGACUCAUCCGAGGCCCCGUAAUCGGAAUGAGUACACUUUAAAUCCUUUAACAAGGAUCCAAUGGAGGGCAAGUCUGGUGCCAGCAGCCGCGGUAAUUCCAGCUCCAUUAGCGUAUAUUAAAGUUGUUGCGGUUAAAAAGCUCGUAGUUGGUUCUGUGUCCUUCGCUGUCGGUUCACCGCCUGGCGGUGCAACUGGCAUGUCGUGGGAUGUCCUGUCGGUGGCGGCCGUGACCCACGGCGCGUCGAGGCUUCUGCCGAGGCGCGUCGCUGUGCGUCAGGUCGCCGAUUCAAUCCUGCCGCGGUGCUCUUUACUGAGUGUCGAGGCAGGCCGACACGUUUACUUUGAACAAAUUAGAGUGCUCAAAGCAGGCUGAAUUCCGCCUGGAUAUUGUUGCAUGGAAUAAUGGAAUAGGACCUCGGUUCUAUUUUGUUGGUUUUCGGAAUCUCCGAGGUAAUGAUCAAUAUGGACAGGCGGGGGCAUUCGUAUUGCGACGUUAGAGGUGAAAUUCUUGGAUCGUCGCAAGACGGACUAGAGCGAAAGCAUUUGCCAAGUAUGUCUUAGUUGAUCAAGAACGAAAGUUAGAGGUUCGAAGGCGAUCAGAUACCGCCCUAGUUCUAACCAUAAACGAUGCCAGCCAGCGAUCCGCCGAUGUUCCUCCGAUGACUCGGCGGGCAGCUUCCGGGAAACCAAAGCUUUUGGGUUCCGGGGGAAGUAUGGUUGCAAAGCUGAAACUUAAAGGAAUUGACGGAAGGGCACCACCAGGAGUGGAGCCUGCGGCUUAAUUUGACUCAACACGGGAAACCUCACCAGGCCCAGACAUUGGAAGGAUUGACAGAUUGAUAGCUCUUU
rnacentral:rRNA from 1 species